rnacentral:rRNA from 1 species
UACAGAGGGGGCAAGCGUUAUUCGGAAUUAUUGGGCGUAAAGGGCGCGUAGGCGGCUUGGCAAGUGGAUGGUGAAAUCCCUCGGCUUAACCGAGGAACUGCCGUCCAAACUGCUUCGCUUGAGACCGGGAGAGGUGAGUGGAAUUCCCAGUGUAGCGGUGAAAUGCGUAGGUAUUGGGAGGAACACCAGUGGCGAAGGCGGCUCACUGGACCGGUACUGACGCUGAUGCGCGAAAGCGUGGGGAGCAAACGGG